rnacentral:rRNA from 1 species
CUACGGGUGGCUGCAGUGGGGAAUAUUGCACAAUGGGGGGAACCCUGAUGCAGCAACGCCGCGUGGAGGAUGACGCAUUUCGGUGUGUAAACUCCUUUUAUAUGUCAAGAAAAUGACGGUAGCAUAUGAAUAAGCACCGGCUAACUCCGUGCCAGCAGCCGCGGUAAUACGGAGGGUGCAAGCGUUACUCGGAAUCACUGGGCGUAAAGGACGCGUAGGCGGGUUGGAAAGUCAGGUGUGAAAUCCUACAGCUUAACUGUAGAACUGCACUUGAAACUUCUAAUCUAGAGUAUGGGAGGGGGAGAUGGAAUUAGUGGUGUAGGGGUAAAAUCCGUAGAUAUCACUAGGAAUACCUAAAGCGAAGGCGAUCUCCUGGAACAUUACUGACGCUAAGGCGUGAAAGCGUGGGGAGCAAACAGGAUUAGAUACCCGAGUAGUC